UACGUAGGUGGCAAGCGUUGUCCGGAUUUACUGGGCGUAAAGAGCGCGCAGGCGGUCGUUCAAGUCGCGUGUGAAAGCCCCCGGCUCAACUGGGGAGGGUCACGCGAUACUGAUCGACUCGAAGGCAGGAGAGGGAAGUGGGAUUCCAGGUGUAGCGGUGAAAUGCGUAGAUAUCUGGAGGAACACCGGUGGCGAAGGCGGCAUCCUGGACCGACACUGACGCUGAGGAGCGAAAGCCAGGGGAGCAACGGG
rnacentral:rRNA from 1 species